GAGUUUGAUCUUGGCUCAGGAUGAACGCUGGCGGCGUGCCUAAUACAUGCAAGUCGAGCGAACGGACGAGAAGCUUGCUUCUCUGAUGUUAGCGGCGGACGGGUGAGUAACACGUGGAUAACCUACCUAUAAGACUGGGAUAACUUCGGGAAACCGGAGCUAAUACCGGAUAAUAUUUUGAACCGCAUGGUUCAAAAGUAAAAGACGGUCUUGCUGUCACUUAUAGAUGGAUCCGCGCUGCAUUAGCUAGUUGGUAAGGUAACGGCUUACCAAGGCAACGAUGCAUAGCCGACCUGAGAGGGUGAUCGGCCACACUGGAACUGAGACACGGUCCAGACUCCUACGGGAGGCAGCAGUAGGGAAUCUUCCGCAAUGGGCGAAAGCCUGACGGAGCAACGCCGCGUGAGUGAUGAAGGUCUUCGGAUCGUAAAACUCUGUUAUUAGGGAGAACAUAUGUGUAAGUAACUGUGCACAUCUUGACGGUACCUAAUCAGAAAGCCACGGCUGACUACGUCG
rnacentral:rRNA from 1 species